rnacentral:rRNA from 1 species
GCAAACAGGAUUAGAUACCCUGGUAGUCCACGCCGUAAACGAUGAGUGCUAAGUGUUGGAGGUUUCCGCCCUUCAGUGCUGCAGCUAACGCAUUAAGCACUCCGCCUGGGGAGUACGACCGCAAGGUUGAAACUCAAAGGAAUUGACGGGGGCCCGCACAAGCGGUGGAGCAUGUGGUUUAAUUCGAAGCAACGCGAAGAACCUUACCAGGUCUUGACAUCCUUUGACCACUCGAGAGAUCGAGCUUUCCCUUCGGGGACAAAGUGACAGGUGGUGCAUGGUUGUCGUCAGCUCGUGUCGUGAGAUGUUGGGUUAAGUCCCGCAACGAGCGCAACCCUUAUUGUUAGUUGCCAUCAUUCAGUUGGGCACUCUAGCGAGACUGCCGGUGACAAACCGGAGGAAGGUGGGGAUGACGUCAAAUCAUCAUGCCCCUUAUGACCUGGGCUACACACGUGCUACAAUGGGAAGUACAACGAGUCGCUAGGCCGCGAGGUCAUGCAAAUCUCUUAAAGCUUCUCUCAGUUCGGAUUGUAGGCUGCAACUCGCCUACAUGAAGCCGGAAUCGCUAGUAAUCGCGGAUCAGCACGCCGCGGUGAAUACGUUCCCGGGCCUUGUACACACCGCCCGUCACACCACGAAAGUUUGUAACACCCGAAGUCGGUGAGGUAACCCUUGUGGAGCCAGCCGCCUAAGGUGGGAUAGAUGAUUGGGGUGAAGUCGUAACAAGGUAGCCGUAUCGGAAGGUGCGGCUG